CCUGUUGGCAUGCUUUCGGAUGCCUUUAAACGGGUGUCGGGGGCGGACGGCAUCUUUACUUUGAACAAAUUUGAGUGCUCAAAGCAGGCCUAUGCGCCUGAAAAUUCUUGCAUGGAAUAAUGAAAUAGGACUUCGGUUCUAUUUUGUUGGUUUUCGGAUCCGAAGUAAUGGUUAAGAGGGACAGACGGGGGCAUUUGUAUGGCGGUGUUAGAGGUGAAAUUCUGGGAUCGCCGCCAGACAAACUACAGCGAAAGCAUUUGCCAAGAAUGUUUUCAUUGAUCAGGAGCGAAAGUCAGAGUUUCGAAGACGAUCAGAUACCGUCGUAGUUCUGACCAUAAACGAUGCCAACUGACGAUCCGCGUUGGUUCUAUAAUUGACAUCGCGGGCAGUCCCCGGGAAACCUUUAAGUCUUUGGGCUCCGGGGGGAGUAUGGUUGCAAAGCUGAAACUUAAAGGAAUUGACGGAAGGGCACCACCAGGAGUGGAGCCUGCGGUUUAAUUCGACUCAACACGGGAAAACUCACCCGGCCCGGACACUGUGAGGAUUGACAGAUUGAAAGCUCUUUCUUGAUUCGGUGGUUGGUGGUGCAUGGCCGUUCUUAGUUGGUGGAGCGAUUUGUCUGGUUAAUUCCGAUAACGAACGAGACUUUAACCUACUAAAUAGUAGACUGGUCCUCUGUGCUCGUUCAGGGCGCGGCUUCUACUGCUUCUUUAUGGAGUAGUGUGGUCGUGAUCCGACGGGUGCGGUGCCAGUUUUUACUUCUUAGAGGGACAAGCGGCACACUUAAGUCGCACGAAAUUGAGCAAUAACAGGUCUGUGAUGCCCUUAGAUGUCCGGGGCCACACGUGCGCUACAAUGACGGUGCCAGCGAGCCUGGAAACCUGGCCCGAAAGGGUUGGGCAAACUGUUUCAUCACCGUCGUGACUGGGAUCGGGGCUUGCAAUUAUUCCCCGUGAACGAGGAAUUCCUGGUAAGUGCAAGUCAUAAGCUUGCGCUGAUUACGUCCCUGCCCUUUGUACACACCGCCCGUCGCUACUACCGAUUGAAUGGUUUAGUGAGGUCGUUGGAUUGGUGUCGUUGUAGUGGCUUUAUCGCUGCUCGACUGAUAUCGAGAAGACGACCUAAUUUGACUAUUUAGAGGAAGUAAAAGUCGUAACAAGGUUUCCGUAGGUGAACCUGCGGAAG
rnacentral:rRNA from 1 species